CCUUCUCCUCAGCCUCGCCAUUAUUUUUGUAGUCGUCAUCUGCGCCGGUGACAUUGUUCUCAAACCACAUCAACAGUAACAGCGCGGUCCACAGAGACGAUUUCCCAAAGUAUAUCAUUCCUAAAACAAAAAUGAAAAAAGAUUAUCCACAGCACAAGUUAAAUAACUCAAAAACUAUCCGUUGAAAUUUUGAUAAGGCGAUGGCGCACCGACGACCGGCCGGCCACGUGCUCGUGCAUGGAGAUCUCCAGAUAUAAGUGUGCGGUGGAGGACUUCUGCAGGACAACUGCAGAGUACGAGACCAUUAUUGUGACGUGUUCGGUUUCCAACGUUCGGUGGCGGGAGGAGGGUAAACGAUCAAAAUGGACGGUAUGUUUAUGGCAUCAAUAACAAUCAAAUCCCGAUUCAAGACCACAUUAAUUUCGGACAACAAUUAUAUAACCACUCAACAACGAAUGUGUAUCCGAA